UCUCCGUAGGUGAACCUGCGGAGGGAUCAUUACCGAGUGAGCGCUCCGGCGCGACCUCCAACCCCAUGUUUUCCGACUCUGUUGCCUCGGGGGCGACCCUGCCGGCACUCUGUCGCCGGGCGCCCCCGAAGGUCUCCAAACACUGCAUCUUUGCGUCGGAGUUUAAAACAAAUUAAACAAAACUUUCAACAACGGAUCUCUUGGUUCUGGCAUCGAUGAAGAACGCAGC
rnacentral:misc_RNA from 1 species